rnacentral:rRNA from 1 species
UUUUAUGGAGAGUUUGAUCCUGGCUCAGAGUGAACGCUGGCGGCGUGCCUAAUACAUGCAAGUCGAACGAUGAAGCUUCUAGCUUGCUAGAAUGCUGAUUAGUGGCGCACGGGUGAGUAACGCAUAGGUCAUGUGCCUCUUAGUUUGGGAUAGCCAUUGGAAACGAUGAUUAAUACCAGAUACUCCCUACGGGGGAAAGAUUUAUCGCUAAGAGAUCAGCCUAUGUCCUAUCAGCUUGUUGGUAAGGUAAUGGCUUACCAAGGCUAUGACGGGUAUCCGGCCUGAGAGGGUGAACGGACACACUGGAACUGAGACACGGUCCAGACUCCUACGGGAGGCAGCAGUAGGGAAUAUUGCUCAAUGGGGGAAACCUUGAAGCAGCAACGCCGCGUGGAGGAUGAAGGUUUUAGGAUUGUAAACUCCUUUUGUUAGAGAAGAUAAUGACGGUAUCUAACGAAUAAGCACCGGCUAACUCCGUGCCAGCAGCCGCGGUAAUACGGAGGGUGCAAGCGUUACUCGGAAUCACUGGGCGUAAAGAGCGCGUAGGCGGGAUAGUCAGUCAGGUGUGAAAUCCUAUGGCUUAACCAUAGAACUGCAUUUGAAACUACUAUUCUAGAGUGUGGGAGAGGUAGGUGGAAUUCUUGGUGUAGGGGUAAAAUCCGUAGAGAUCAAGAGGAAUACUCAUUGCGAAGGCGACCUGCUGGAACAUUACUGACGCUGAUUGCGCGAAAGCGUGGGGAGCAAACAGGAUUAGAUACCCUGGUAGUCCACGCCCUAAACGAUGGAUGCUAGUUGUUGGAGGGCUUAGUCUCUCCAGUAAUGCAGCUAACGCAUUAAGCAUCCCGCCUGGGGAGUACGGUCGCAAGAUUAAAACUCAAAGGAAUAGACGGGGACCCGCACAAGCGGUGGAGCAUGUGGUUUAAUUCGAAGAUACACGAAGAACCUUACCUAGGCUUGACAUUGAGAGAAUCCGCUAGAAAUAGUGGAGUGUCUGGCUUGCCAGACCUUGAAAACAGGUGCUGCACGGCUGUCGUCAGCUCGUGUCGUGAGAUGUUGGGUUAAGUCCCGCAACGAGCGCAACCCCCUUUCUUAGUUGCUAACAGGUCAUGCUGAGAACUCUAAGGAUACUGCCUCCGUAAGGAGGAGGAAGGUGGGGACGACGUCAAGUCAUCAUGGCCCUUACGCCUAGGGCUACACACGUGCUACAAUGGGGUGCACAAAGAGAAGCAAUACUGCGAAGUGGAGCCAAUCUUCAAAACACCUCUCAGUUCGGAUUGUAGGCUGCAACUCGCCUGCAUGAAGCUGGAAUCGCUAGUAAUCGCAAAUCAGCCAUGUUGCGGUGAAUACGUUCCCGGGUCUUGUACUCACCGCCCGUCACACCAUGGGAGUUGUGUUUGCCUUAAGUCAGGAUGCUAAAUUGGCUACUGCCCACGGCACACACAGCGACUGGGGUGAAGUCGUAACAAGGUAACCGUAGGUGAACCUGCGGUUGGAUCACCUCCUUUCUAGA